GCUGUAAAGCCUGGCAAUACUUGAGUAUGGCAUGACAGUUGUGCACUAGGAGUGGGUGGGAUGGCCGAUAACCAUGGCCAUACUAAAUCAAGUGUGAUUUUUCUGGGAUAGUCUUUUAAAGCUUUUUCUAACUUCCAUUGAUUUAGAUGUUCUUCAGAACAACUGCUCUGUAAGUAUGUAGUGACUGCCUCCCUGCUUCCAAUUGUUACCUCCAAUCAUCUAUAAAAUUUCUUGCUUUUGCAGCUUUAGCUACUUAUUAGGUGGACUUUCCAGGGAUUGGAAUCCAAAUCAAUUAUUAAUUAUUUGGCUGAAUUACUAGCAAUUGGGACAUGUAAUGUGAUAGAUUCUAUAUUGAACCUAACUAUCCGAGUAAAUAGUUGGUCCAAAAUUUAUUAAAGUAGGUAAAUCUCAUAUCGGGUUUCUAGCAAUUCAGACAAGUAAUUAUGUUUCGGUUGGUACUAGAAGUGUAAAACUUCACGCCUGGACCAUUGCAUUAAUUCAUGUUUAGUACACAAUUCAUGUUAUUGUUUAGUACACUUGCUUGCCAUCUUUGGUACACUUGUACUACUGUACAUAGAUGUAAUCAUGUACUACUCCCUUCCCCGGCUCUCUCCUGUACUUGCAUGUACUGCCCUUGCAAACUGUCGUUCAUUAUAAGAUACAGAGUUUCUCAUCCUUGGAGGAUCACUGCCUCCAAUUCAAUCAUUCUAUUUGGUCGUGCUUUUUGGAUCCUUGGUGCUCAAUCCUCUUGCAUUUUUCCUUUUCAGCUUUUUCAAUAUGAAAAUUUGUGGGUUAAGAUGUUUGCAAUUCUUCAAAUCUUGGCCACCCGUUUAUAACGGAGGGCUAAAGUUUGAACACGUCAUCAAUCAUUAUGAAAAUUUUACCACAUCAUCAAUUCUUGUGAAAAAGCGAAAACUAUCUUUAAAAAAAACUCUUAAUACCAUUUGAGCCCAUCAUCAACCCCAUUCUCACUGCUGUUCGUCGUCGACGCUCACCGUCGCAUCUUUCUCUGUCACCGUCUACAAUCAACCCAUAUCCUUCACACAAAAUCCAAAUCCUAAUCCUUUGGGUUUCCACUCGCUCUAUUGGGUUUCCCGGCGAAAGGCACGUCGGCGACGGAGAAGCCGUACAAGUUCCUGAUCUACGGUCACGCCCAAAUCCUUUCACCUAACUAACUAACAUGCUUCCUAGUUAGGUGAAAGGAUUUGGGCUGGAUCUGGGUUUUGUGUUAAGCAUAUGGGUUAGUGGUGGCCAGUGACGGAGAGAUGCGGCGGAGAGGGUCGGCGACGACCGGUGGUGAGGAUGGAGUUGAUGAUGGGCUCAAAUGGCUUUAGGGGUUUUUUAUAAAAAAAAAAAAAAAAAAGCAUCGCUGUUUUGGCAAAUUUUUUCAUAAUGGUUGAUGACGUGUUAAAAUGUUAGGCUUACGUUAUAUUAUAGGCGACUCUGGUCCAUGUUUGUAGUUUGUUGCCUUUGUUGGUUUUAGUAGGAGCUGGAAAUGUAAGUUCAUCCACAUGCCAACAAU
rnacentral:lncRNA from 1 species